CCGGGCGGAACCAUAAUGAAAGUGUACAGUAUUAUUUUAAUUUCCGUUUUGGCCAUUUUCGCGGAUGCAGGGGACGUCCACUACGAUUUGAGGGACGCUCCAUUUUUGUUCUAUAAAUAUGUGAAGGAGUAUCAGCGGGAAUACAAGGAUACCGAAGAUUUACUUGUACAUUAUGCCAGAUUUGUGUACAAUCUCAGGCAAAUAAACAAACAAAACGAGCUCAGCGAAACAGCGACAUAUGAUAUUAAUCAAUUCGCAGAUUAUACUGAAGAAGAAAUGUAUCCAUUAAUUAAUGGCUUUAAUCCGAAACCACAUGCUGCUAAGGACCGCGUGGUUCCACAAUCCCGAUCUCGCUACCGUGAAUACUGAGAAUUAAAAACCAAAUAAAAUGUUUUAAACUGAA